UUCUUUCUUCUACGGCCGUAUAACCAAGAUUGACUCCGUAAGUAGAAGUGGUGAGAAGAGAGAGUGUAAUCCCAUUCUGCUUGAUUAGAAACUUGAAAAACAAACAUAUUCAGCGACAAAUGGCUCAUUUUGAGUUACGAUCGAGCAAAAUGUCAGAGGUACUGGGCAUUGGUUAUAGGGUCGACCAAGGAAAAGGGAGGCUUAAUUUUGUUCUCUAUCUAAAGUCAAGUUUCAGAUUUCUGUUAUGAAGAAAUAGUGUGAUUGUAUUUAUUUCAACAUUGAUUGCAGGUGCUUCUUGACGGUGGGAAGACAGAGAGGCUCAUCAAUCAGGAUUCGAAGCUUCCCAACCGGCUCUAACUCAAUAUCGGGUGCUUGGUCCUAUCAUAAAUGGAUUGAAUUACAACCACGCACUAGCCGAAAGCAUCAGUUGGCUACUAUUUGGUUGGAGCACAAGUAUUCCCCUAGCUGGAGCACUGCUUUUGGCCUUAAGGCAACAUUGUUCUGGAGAAAUCUGAGAGGAGGUGGCAUGAAGUAACAAACCAAGUAGGGGAACAUAUCACCUCAAGUACGAUUCUGUUGCAUAAUUUACUAUUCCUGAGCUGAACAUCGUUGACCAACCAAAAUGGUGGGAAAGAAGUGUUCCGAAGUGCUUUAGAUCAAGCUGGAGAUAGAGUAGGUGUUGUUCAAUUCUAUGGAAAGCACUGUCUCUGGAUUUUGAGCAAUGGAAGAACUGUAUGCGGUAGUGAUUCUGUUUGGAAGGCCUUGAUUUUUUAUGCCAAAAGUUGUGAAUGCUUCUUUAAUGCUGAUCAACACAAUGAUUUGGCAAAGCCAUGGUAGACGUAAAGAAAAUGUUGGACCAAUUUCAUGAGUUGCCCAAUGCCAACAGCAUAAUUUUCAAAAACGCUAGAUGCAAGGUGCUUUUUAGUAUUAACUUUUUGAAGUUAUUCAAGAAUCUGAUGUGGCCUGUUUGGAGAAGUUAGCACUCAGCACUAGAUCUUCUACUGAAGCAGUCAUCUGGCUAAAGACCCAAGAAGCGCGGUGUAGGGAGAAGUUGGUAUUAGCUCUUGACUAAUCUUGAAGAAACUUAAGGUUAAAUCUCAUUGUUUGCACAACAGACUAUUGCAAAGAAUAUGAGAUAAUGUUAAAGGUCUGAGAUGUAUUGCCUCUAAAGGAUAUCCCAAAGUUGGAAUAUCUCUUAGAUACACACAUAAAAUCAUUUUUGUUGAUCUUGCAGCAUCGCGCGAGGAGCACUAUCUAGUAUAGAAUGACACCUUUAAGUUAGGCAUUCAAUGAUUAAAUCACCAACAAUCCAACAUGUAGAGAACUUAGUGAGACAGAAUAAAAUACAUGGAAACAUAGGAAGAUAGGUCCUUGCACAAGGAAGAAAUAUUGCUUGUUAACUAAUAUAAACAAAUUCAAGGAAAGAUCAAUUCCAAAUCUUGAAAACAAAGUAUAAAAAUGAAACCUUACUUUUCUAUAUUGCAUCCCAUUCUCAAUAUCAAUAGUGAUGAAUUAUCCUUCUCUCUCAAUCCCUCUGACAUUGUUACAUUGUUUGCGUACCUAAAGAGCAUGAUAGAAUCUUUGUUCAUGUAAGUAUAGCAGCAUAAGUAAAUGCUAGCAUGACAGACAAAACAUUUGCUCCAUGAAGAAGAGGUGACAUUCUUAUGAAAACAUAUUAUUUUUUAUUUUUUUUAAAGGCAACUUGCUGCCAAGAAUGGAAAAACACUUUUCCAACAUUGUCAUCUCUCCAACCACUACCACGUACUCUGAUUUUAAGCAAAACAUGUUCAGACAAGGCUGAUGUGCAUCGUCAUUCACUCAUUUAGAGGCUCAGCUCUUCCCUAUCUAUGCUUUAACUUAUGACCCAUUAUUUGGACACUUGAGAUGUAGCAAGUUAAUGUGCAGCAUAUGCUAACAUGUGCACGUUGUAAGUGAGGAAUCUCAUGUUCAAAUUGUAUAAAAGAUUCUAAAUAUGGGAUUCUGGAAGCCAUCGAAUUGAAAGAUAGAUAGCCAAAAUGACUCUUAGCUUCAAUAUAGAGGUCGUUCUGCUUCUGGACCGGUCUUACGUAGACCUUGAGUCACUUUUGUGGAUGCAGCCAGAAAUCUUAAUGAGACCAUGCAUCAUUCACCUUCACCAUUCAAUUCUGUCCCCAGAUCGGACUGUUCCAACCCUGCCCACCUCUCAAGCCCUUGUAGUGGCUGUAGCAAAACGUCAACCCCUAGCUGUCAUUCCUCCUCAGGAUGAUCCUCAUCUCCACAUCAAUGAUGAAGAUUUGAUAGUUGAUGAAGACCUUGACCUAGAGUUUGAAGAUGACCUUGAGGAAAACAUUGAGGUGGUAGAGAUGUCACUAAUGCAGGGUCUGCUCUUCCUUUCCGUAGCCCCAGAAAGAGAGGAAGAGAUGUUAUUGAGAAUAUGGCAGAAGAACCAUCUUCUUCUUAUCUGCCUGAAUGAGCAUAAUGUGUUGGAAUUGUCGUGGCUGUUCACGACAGGGUUUUCUGUUUGAGAAUGUUUGUUCUGCUGAUAUCCGGUUGGUAGCUUUUCUUUCUAUGUAUCCUCAUAAGAACCAGCCUCAGGAACUUUGGAAUGAACUUGUUACUUUGCAAGUUUUUCCCCCAAGAACCUUGGUUCAUUUUGGGUAAUUUUAAUUGCAUUCUAAGCUUGCAAGAGAAGCAUGGAGGAUCACAUCAUUAUAUGAUUCAGUUUGGACAGUACUUGAAUAGAUUAGGCAUGAUUUCAUUACCUUUUACCGGUAACUUGUUUACAUGGACAAACAAACAGCAACA